CCUACGGGUGGCAGCAGUGGGGGAUAUUGCACAAUGGGGGAAACCCUGAUGCAGCGACGCCGCGUGGGUGAAGAAGCGCCUCGGCGCGUAAAGCCCUUUCAGCAGGUAAGACACUGACGUUACCUGAAGAAGAAGCCCCGGCUAACUACGUGCCAGCAGCCGCGGUAAUCCGUAGGGGGCAAGCGUUAUCCGGAUUUACUGGGGGUAAAGGGGGCGCAGACGGCGAUGCAAGCCAGGAGUGAAAGCCCGGGGCCCAACCCCGGGACUGCUCUUGGAACUGCGUGGCUAGAGGGCAGGAGGGGCAGGCGGAAUUCCUGGUGUAGCGGUGAAAUGCGUAGAUAGCAGGAGGAACACCGGGGGCGAAGGUGGCCUGCUGGACUGCAACUGACGUUGAGGCCCGAAAGCGUGGGGAGCAAACAGGAUUAGAUACCCGGGUAGUC
rnacentral:rRNA from 1 species